rnacentral:rRNA from 6 species
UUCGCAAUGCCCGAAAGGGUGACGAAGCGACGCCGCGUGGGUGAGGAAGGCCUUCGGGUUGUAAAGCCCUGUCAGGAGUUAAGAAAUGUAGACUCGCUAAUAUCGGGUCUAUUUGACAAAGGCUCCAAAGGAAGCCACGGCUAACUCUGUGCCAGCAGCCGCGGUAAUACAGAGGUGGCAAGCGUUGUUCGGAAUUAUUGGGCGUAAAGAGCACGUAGGUGGAUUUGUAAGUCAGACGUGAAAGCCUUCUGUUCAACGGAAGAAUUGCAUCUGAAACUACAAACCUUGAGUGUAGGAGGGGAGAAUGGAACUUCUGGUGGAGCGGUGAAAUGCGUAGAUAUCAGAAGGAACGCCGGCGGCGAAAGCGAUUCUCUGGCCUAUUACUGACACUCAGUGUGCGAAAGCUAGGGGAGCAAACGGGAUUAGAUACCCCGGUAGUCCUAGCCGUAAACGAUGGGCACUAAGUAGAGGGGUUUU